ensembl:lncRNA
AUGCCCAGCAAGAGGAAGAAGAACAAGCGCCGCAUGACCAGGGUGCAGGCCCAGAGGAGAAUUCUUGAAGAGCAGUAUGCAGCCAACCCGCCCGCCAAAGCCAGCCGGGGGACUGGGGCGAGCGUCCCCCCGGCGGCAGCCUCCAGGCUCAAAUGCACAGCGCCCGCUCCCCAAAAGAUCCUCCAGGCCGUUACCACCUCAGAAGUGAUAAGUAAACCUGUCACGCCCGAGCCCGAGGCGGCGGCGGCGGCGUUGGAACAGUCUCCGACAGAAGUGCAGGCCGAAGCUGCAGAUGUGGGAGCUGGAGAGACGCCCGUCGCCACGGAGACGGCCGAAGCUGAAUCUGAGGCGACACCAGAGGCCGAAGCGGCCCUUCCUGACACUGAAGCAGGUACUCAGGUGAGUUCUCCAGCUGAGGCUCCAGCAGAAGCUCCAGAGGAGACCGAGAUCUUAACAGAAGAAACAGCAAAUGUGACAACAGAGCCUGAACUGAGGCAUGAAACCCUUGAAGCAAAAACUGAAGAGGAGCCCGAGGCCCCCGCAGAGGAGGAGGCCCCCGUGGAGACUGAGAUGGAAGUGGCCAUCACGGAAGCCCCCGAGGAGCCCGAGGUCACAGCACAGGCUGGAGGCCGAGUAUCCCCGGUGGAGGAACCGGCUGCGGUCGCAGAGGCCGCCGUAGAACCGGCAGAGGUGGAGGUCGCCGCCGAGGUUCUCGAGCCCGAAGCCGUUACUGAAAUCGUCUCUGGUGGGGAGGAGGAAGAGGAGGAAGAGGCAGAAAUGGAAGUCCUGGCUGCAGAAGAAGCAUCUGAAGUCUCUGCUGAGACCACUGACCUCAUCACCAAGACAGAGGUGCCCCAGGAUGCUCCUGUCCAGCCCAUGGAAAUCCAAGUGGUUGGAGACGCUCCGCUAGAAGAGGCUGAAGCAUCUGCAGCCGAGGUGAAAGAGGAGAUCGUUGACAACCUGGCCGAUGACUUUGUUGUCACGGAGACCGCCGAGGCAGUGGAGGUCGCCAUCGCAGAAUCUUCGGGCCAGCUGGAAACCGUGGAGAUGAGCGAAGCUCUCAACAGCCAAUCAGAAGCCUCGAAUGAGUCUGUUGCUGAGUCUGUUGCCGAGGUGGUUGCUCCACCUGCAGAAGAAGCGAUGGAUGCAGAUGGACAGGCAUGUUUAGACGCUCCUCUGGAAGAGCCGAAGCUGGAAGAGCCGAAGCUGGAAGAGCCGAAGCUGGAAGAGCCGAAGCUGGAAGUGUGUGAAAUGCCGUGUCAGAAGCAGCUGGCGGUGGAGUCCGUGGAGAUGUCUGUGGAGUCUUCGCUGAGCGGACACGUCGUUCCAGAAGUCACCAUCGAGGGAUGA